CCGGGAGGGAUCGGGCGUGCUUGGUCCACUACGGGUCAUCCAGUGCAGUGCUCCGCACAGAGGAGGUGCUCAGCAAAUAUUUCUUCCAUGAGUCAGUGCGUGGAACUUUGUCACCAGAAGAAAGGAUCCAAGACAUAAGCGAUGUGUUGGUUGUCUAAGAAGGGGGUACUCCCGGAGAAGAGUAACCUUUACACCGUUUUUGGCUCUGCCCUCCGAAAUGUUACUGAUGGGUUUGUUUUGUGUGGGUAGACUAAGGAGGCAGGAAAAAAGGUUUGGAACCACUGGACCAAUUAGUAAUUUCCCAGACUGAUUCGUAGGAGGGGAAUAUUUUUAAGUGUAUUUUCACCUGGAUGUCUAAACAAAUCACAGAGAUUAACAACAACAACAAAACCAAUAGUUGCUCUUCUGACGGAUCCUCAGUGAAGAGUUGGUUUUCAAAAUCAUUCAUCCGGUGCCUGGUGGGUUCUGUCUAUAAAGCGUGGGACUCUUGAUCUCCGGGUCAUGAGUUCGAGCCCCACAAUGGGAUCCUACUUAAAAAAAAAAAAGAAAGAAAGAAAGAAAGAAAAACAUUCAUCUGCUGCUACUCCAGGGUUACUGGUAAAGAACUGAGGCCCAGAUGGAUGAUAACUAAAAUUAUUGUGGUAAUCUUUUCAUAAUAUAUGUAUGUCAAGUCAUUAUGCUGUACAUCUUAAACUUAUAGUGUUGUAUGUCAAUUAUAUCUUAAUGAAACAAAAAAUAAGUAAAUGGUUUAAUUUAAAAAACAGUACUGAAGCCCAGAGAGGCUAAGUGACUUACUUAGUGCCACACAGCGAAGAAGGAAAGAAAGAGGGCAACAACAACUAAAAAACCACAGGAAUUUGAGUAAAAGCCAAGAGAAAAUGAUGGCUUGCAGUUCAGAUUCUACUUGUUGCCUAUUUUUAUACAACUUGAGGUCAAAGAAUUUUUUUACACUUUUAAAUGGUUAAAAAAUCAAGAAGAAUAUUAUUUUGUGACUUGUGAUUAUAUGAAAUUCAUAUGUCAGUGUCCACAAAUAAAGUUUUGUUGGUACACAGCCAUGCCCAUUCACUUACUGCUGCUUUCAACACUACAAAGGUAGAACUGAGUAGUUAGUACGCAAACUAUAAGUGGCCCACAAAGCCUGAAAUAUUUACCAUCUGGCCCUUUACAGAAAAAGUUUGCUUAGUUCAGGUCUGGAAUUCUCAGGGGUUCCUUAGGUUUUCAACUACUUUAGAAAGCCUUAGAUGCUGGGAUCUGGGUGGAUUAUGUGACAGUGAGUGGUGAGGGGAGAGAGGACUGCAGAUACUGGGGUCCUUUGAUUAAAGGCCUAGAAAGCAAGGGCAAGUUCACGGCCAGCUGUAGGCAGUACAGGAAAGAGAGCAGGUCUAAUCUAAGCUAGGUAAUUAUGAAAUCAGGGACAACCUGACUUUUUGAGACUCUCCUAUGGUCUCUUCUGGGUACUGUAGGGUUUAUAAACAAGUUCCUAGGAUGCUGCACAAGAGGCUCACAGUGCUGUUCGAAGACUGUCUACACACCAUGAAUGCAAGCGGCAGCCUGUAUGUGCUGCCUUCUGUCCGGUGCGUGGCCAUCCUCACGGUGGCCGGGAGAAGAAAGAACCUCGGGGAACAUCGCCUGGCUUUUAGAACUCUGUCUCUGAGAUUCUUAGCCCCGUGAUUAAAGCACGUCUCUAGGAGAUACGGCCGACCUUUGCUCAGCAUUCAGUACAGCGCAGAGGGCAUGCGUUCCGAGGGGGCACCCACUUGGAUAAUUUCACGUGAGCAGACUUGCCCCGGCCUGGAAUUUUCAAUAAGAACCGGUGCCGAACUCUAGUCUUCCUAAUCAGUGUCCCAUUGACAAGGCGUUCGAAUACACUCAUAGGCACGGCAGGAAAAUCCACCCCAAGGACUGCUCCGAAGCGUGGUUGUUAUCGUGUCAUGGCAUCCAAAUAAAGACACAGAGAGGUCUUGGAAAUUCCAAUUCCUGCAGUGGCCAGGCGGAUAACUGAGGGGGUCAAAAGGAUAAGAAAGAGCACUGGCCCUCUAACUCCUUGCUGGCAGGCUGUGGAAGGAGAGGAGACGAUAGAGCAGAGAGGCUGCCUGCACGUUUAAAGGAAACAGCUACCGUUCGGCGCUGGCCAGUUGUUCCUCUAGAGAAAAAACCCUUUUUUUUAAAGUUGCAAAUCAAAUUUAUAUGGGAAAUCUGCGGGCUUUAAAUAUUGGCAGUAGGGGCGCCUGGGUGGCUCAGUCGUUAAGCGUCUGCCUUCGGCUCGGGUCAUGAUCCUGGGGUUCUGGGAUGGAGUCCCAAAUAGGGCUCCCUGCUUCGCGGGAAGCCGGCUUCUCCCUCUCCCACUCUCCCUGCUUGUGUUCCCUCUCUUGCUGGGUUUCUCUCUGUCAAAUAAAUAAAUUAAAUCUUAAAAAAAAUAUAUUGGCAGUAAUUCAGAAUUGUGAAAUACGGUGUAGGCCAAAUAAACACCUUCGCAGGCUGUGUUUGGGGUUGUAAGUCUGCUCUGUGAGCAAGUAGGAGCCUGCUCUGAGGAAAUAGUGUAGGAAGACUUCCUUUGGCUUAGUAAAAGCCACUUUAUUUAUUUUUUUAAAGAUUUUAUUUAUGUAUUUGACAGACAGAGA